rnacentral:rRNA from 1 species
UACGAAGGGGGCUAGCGUUGCUCGGAAUUACUGGGCGUAAAGCGCACGUAGGCGGAUUGUUAAGUCGGGGGUGAAAUCCUGGAGCUCAACUCCAGAACUGCCUUCGAUACUGGCGAUCUAGAGUCCGGGAGAGGUGAGUGGAACUGCGAGUGUAGAGGUGAAAUUCGUAGAUAUUAGGAAGAACACCAGUGGCGAAGGCGGCUCACUGGUCCGGUACUGACGCUGAGGUGCGAAAGCGUGGGGAGCAAACAGG